rnacentral:tRNA from 1 species
GGGGAUGUGGUUUAGUGAUAGAGCGUUUGCCUAACAUGCAAGAAGUCCUGGGUUCGAUUCCCCAGUACCA